UGGAAACUCACAAACAAGGUGUCACCUGGCAUUCAGAUACCCUCAUACUGCAGCAUGGGACCAAGGAAGCAUUUGCUGUUGAUUCUUCUACUGCUAGUAUUCACCGACCACAGUCAAGGUGUUCCUGAGACCUAUGAACAAUCCUUGAUUGUCAACAAAUUCACUGAUUCCACUGUUGUUGGAGAACUACUUACAACUCCACAUCCGAUUAACACCCCAAGAUGGCACAACAGAUCAUGUAACUGCAAAGGAAAGGAAAGAGAGAUGGUGAGCACACACUGCCGCUGUCAGUCGUCUGCCAGACGCAAUGGCAAGAACGGGAAAUGGAAAAAACUGUGCCAGCUGGAAAAAAACAAGAAUCUGCAGAAGUGCCACAAGUUUUCCAAACUGAAGACAAACAAUAAAUCCAAGUUCGGUCCCAGUGUGCCCAUAUGAGCAAGACAAGGAAACUCUCAUAUAUACUCUGCCUAUAUAUCAAUAUUUUGCAAUUAUCACUGUCACACAUAUUUCUUUGUAAGACUUACUGUUAUAUCCUCCUCAAUAAAGUCCUCACACAAAUGAUUACAGUGUUUUUUAUUGAUAAAGAAAUAAUUACAGUGAAUCGAGGUAUAAUAAAGC
ensembl:lncRNA